GCCCGGGAUGUUAGCGGGUGGGAGGUGCGGCCGGGUUGCUACAGCCGGAGCUGGGCGGUGGCGGCGGCGGCAGCGGCGGUGGCAGCUGCUGCGGGUGCUGCCGGAGGAAUCUCGCGGAAUCAGAGGUGGUGGCGCAAUGGAGGGACUGGAAGAAAAUGGAAGUGUCCAAGUUGGAGAAUUGUUACCAUGCAAGAUUUGUGGAAGAACAUUCUUUCCAGUGGCAUUAAAAAAACAUGGACCUAUUUGCCAGAAAACUGCCACUAAAAAACGGAAGACUUUUGAUUCAAGCAGACAAAGAGCUGAAGGAACUGAUAUUCCAACAGUAAAGCCUCUUAAACCUAGGCCUGAACCACCAAAGAAACCAUCUAAUUGGAGAAGAAAACAUGAAGAAUUCAUUGCCACCAUAAGAGCAGCUAAAGGCCUCGAUCAGGCACUUAAAGAGGGUGGAAAACUUCCUCCUCCUCCUCCACCUUCUUAUGAUCCUGAUUAUAUUCAGUGUCCAUAUUGCCAAAGGAGGUUUAAUGAAAAUGCAGCUGAUAGACAUAUUAAUUUCUGUAAAGAACAGGCAGCACGUAUUAGUAACAAAGGCAAAUUUUCUACUGAUACCAAAGGAAAGGCAACUUCUCGGACACAGUAUAAGCCGCCUGCACUUAAAAAGUCAAAUUCUCCUGGAACUGCACCAUCAGGAUCUUCACGAUUACCACAACCAAGUGGCACUAGCAAAACUGUUGUAGGUGUGCCUUCAGGUAAAGCGUCCUCAGUUAGCAGCUCUUUGGGAAGCAAGCUUCAGACCUUAUCUCCCUCCCAUAAAGGGAUAGCAACUCCUCAUGUAGGAACUAACAUCAAACCUCGAAGUUCCACACCACCUAGUUUGGCACGAAAUCCUGCUUCAGGUGUGCUUACAAACAAAAGAAAAACAUAUACUGAGAGCUACAUAGCCAGGCCAGAUGGAGACUGUGUAUCUUCACUUAAUGGCGGAAACAUUAAAGGCAUGGAAGGAAAUUCAACAGGACACUUACCAAAAUUCUGCCAUGAGUGUGGGACUAAAUACCCUGUAGAAUGGGCAAAGUUCUGCUGUGAAUGUGGCAUUCGAAGAAUGGUUCUGUGAACAGAGUCCAAAAAAAAGCUAAGUCUAAAAUUUUAUGACUGUUGCUGCUUGGACAGCUAAGCACUUCCUCUAGUGAAUUUAUGCUAAAAUUAUUCAAAAUACUUUUUUCAGGAAUUUUUGAAGCAUAAUCUUUGGCUGUGUAAUGUGUGUGUGUAUAUAUUUGUGUACAUAUACUGUAUAUAAUAAAUACCUGAUGCCCCAAACUGUGCCAUUCAAGGAAAUAUUCACUCAUCUGUCAAAAUAAUUUCAAGUGGAAUCAUUAACUUAGGUGUUACUUUUCUGUUAUUGUUGUUAAAGCACAUGAAGCAUACCUCCACAAAAUCAAACACUAGUGCUCAGUCCUUCAAGCUUUAGGGAUGAUCAUUACCUUGAGCAAAAAAUCAGAACUAACAUAUUUAUUAUCGGUGCCUAUUUUCAGAUAGUAUCAUAGGAUGGGAUGCUUGAAAUUUUGGAAAUGAAGAGAAUAUUUUUAGUUACAACUAGUUAUGUGAGAUCAUUUCUGUAGAGCUUGCCAACCAUUAAUUUUAUAAAUAUUAAAAAAGAAAGGAAAAAAGCCCCACGGGUCUAGGUUGUCCUUUACUCAGUAUGUCACUAAUUUUAUAAUUUAAAGGUCUUUACUCAUUCUUUAAAAUGUAAUUAUGCAGUUUCCUUUUUAGAAACACAAGACUGAAAAAUGCAGAUGUGUCUUAUUCCAGUCAUAACUGAAUGAUUUUUUUUUACUUCUUUGUUAGUUGAAUGUAUAUUCUACUUCUAAUUGUAUCUCCAUAUUUCAUUUUUUUCAUAACCUCAUGUCUAAAGAGUUUUAUUUUACUACUUUUUUUAUUUGCAAAGUUUGAAAAUAAUAUAAAAUGCAUAAAUUUCCUUACAAAAUUCCACACAUUUAUUUCUGUGUAAUUAGAAAAAAUUAUUUUUAAUAGAUUUUAAAACAAACCACCUCACCUAAUAAAUAAUUUGGAUAGUUAAUCAUUAGCAAUUUUUAAAUUUUAAUUUCCCUUGAAGUAUAGUUAGAUGUAGUUAUGAGUAGGUCAAGAGAAUAUCUAAUUUUCCUACUUAUAUUUUCUUUUUAGUGUUUAAUGCCAAAACACCAUUCACAUCACAGUAAAAACCCCACUGAAAAUGUAUUGCUUUAAUGCAUUAGCUGACUUAUGUAAUUAAACAUUCACAAAAAUUUAAUUAUACUUUAAUUUUGGCUAAAAUGUAGCUUUUAAUCAUUGUCACUUUCAAUGUAACAGUAUUUAGCAGAUUUCUUUGAUCGCCUAUGCAGCCAUAUUCUAUAAUUUAUUAGUAAUUUCUGUUGAAUGGAAAGAGCUUUGAUCUUAUAAAGUUAUAAGCAAAUCUUUUAUAGGCAGUUUAUAGCUUCUCGUUUAUGACUGUGAUCAACUGUAAGGGUUAAUGUAGAAAUUUGUGGCUUACAAUUUUUCUGAAAUUUAUUUAUGCUUGUACUUUGUAAUUGUAUUCAUUAGUUUUUGUUUCUGUUUUUGUUUUUCAUUCAGGCAGGGUAUGUAAACUUGAGAUAAUGGGAAUUGUUAUUUUAUUUUCCUUAUGGUUUCUUUCCUGACUUUUUAUUAACUUUUUUUUUCUGGUUGUCUUCAUUCAGUCAAAUUAGUCUUUAAAAAAAGUCCAUUUAUUAGAAUAAGCUGUAAUUAAUUUAGGAGAAUAAUGUACGUAUUAGAUUUUCAUUUCUAUAAUAUGUUAUUCUGUCUUAAUUGUUAUAAAUCAUAGGAAGAACUUUAAACUUUGUUUUACCUGGAACUGAGCACUAUUUUUUUUUUAAGACCACAUAGUUUUUGCCCAAGGGGAAGGGUAGAUAAAAUGAACUUAAACAGAAGUGGCACGUGUUUGUUUCUCACAGAAUUUUGCAGUAGCAAGUAAAUGUUACAAUGUACUACAUGGAAAAUUAGUUGGUAAAAAAAAAUCAUCCAAUUCUAGAACCCAGAGAUUAUUAUAAAUAGUAAGUUGGUGAAGUAUACUUAUGAAUUAUGAAACAUGUUGUGACAAUGUGUUUAAAUGCAUUUUUAUAUUACUUACAUAUAUUAUUCUCACAUUGAUUUGUUGUGCAAUAGUUCAGUUUAUGAGAAAUUUUCCUAGAUCAUUUAGUUUAUUUUUAUUUAUUUUCACAAGUAUUUGCCAGUGUGGUAGAAUAAAAAAUGAUUAUAAGCUUAAAUUUAAAAUGUAAAAAUUGCUUAUAUAUUAUUCUGAAAGUCAUUAGCUUGAAAAAGUAAAAUUAUUAUGGUUGCUGUUGUCUCUUGUUCACAGUUUUUUAUUAUAAAUAUUGUCUUCAUUUUUGAACCUAUUCAAUAAAGAUGAAGCAAAAAAAAAAAAAAAUUCCAGUCGGUCUUUAUUAAUGUCUUAGCUUUUACCCAGACAUAGGUAGAAAGAUAAGAGCACACUGAAAUAUGAAGAAAAUAUUCAAAGUCUAAAUACAAAUUUUUUUAAAUGGCAGAAAGUAGCUUUUAAUUGGCCAUUUUUUUGUGCCAUCAGCUUUUAAAAAAAUUGCUAUUACUUUACUGAAUUGCAGUGUUUUCUGACUUCAAAGUGUUCUAAAUGUUUCAUUACAAGAUUUCUAAUGCAUAGUAAAUUCUCUUCAUGGCCAGUAAAAUAUAGCAGUUGAAAACAUUAGUGAACUUAAGAUUGAUAGAAAACGUUGCGUGUAUAUUUCGAAUUAGGUAAUGUUACAGUUAAUGGCAAAAAGUAUUGGUUUGUCAUCAAUACUUAGUAAUUUUAGACUAUCAUAUUUAAAAUUUUAAACAGGAGCUGUCUCUAGUAAAAAUAUAAUCAAAUUAGGGGCACCUGGGUGGCUCAGUCAAUUAAGCAUCCCACUUCUGCUCAGGCGUGAUCUGGCGGUUUGUGAGUUUAAGCCCUGCAUUGGGCUCUGUGCUGACAGCUCAGAGCCUGGAGUCUGCUUUGGAUUAUCUCCCUCUCUCAGUCCCUCCUCUGCUUGCACUCUGUCUCUCUCUCAGGAAAUGAAUAAAUAUAAAAAAAUUUUUUACUAUAAUUAAAUUAAACAUGUUUGAUUUGUACUCAAUGCAAUAUAUUUGCAUUGUAGGUAUAUGUAUUUUAUGUGGUGGAUAUAUUUUUAGUACUAAGAUAAUUUUUCCAACUGUGUUACUGAAUUGAGCAGUAGAAAAUCAUUAAAACCAAGUUAAUGAUAGCCACACUUAUUUUCAGAAGUUCAGAAGUUUUUUAGUUAAUUACUACUAUCAGAAUACUCAUUAUAUGGAAGUUUGCUUGGCUUAUACGUGGAUUGCUUUUUUUGCCACUAGAGGGUGCUUUUAGAUAAUUUAAUAUUACUAGCUUCCAAUUUUAUUUUAAAGGCCUCUCCGCAACAUAGAUAUAUCUAUAUCUAUCUCAUGACAUUAUGGAGGUUUAUAAAAGAUAGUUUUGAUUCUUCAUUUUGUUGUGACUUUAAUAAUUCGUAAGCUGGUUUUUUUUAAUGUUUAUUAUUUUUGAGAGAGUGAGAGACAGCAAGCAGGGAAGGGGCAGAGAGAGAGGGAGACACAGAAUCGGAAGCAGGCUCCAGGCUCUGAGCUGUCAGCACAAAGCCCCGUGCGGGGCUCGAACUCUCAGACCGUGAGAUCAUGACCUGAGCUGUAGUCGGCCACCCAACCCACUGAGCCACCCAGGCGCCCCCAUAUGCUGAUUUUUAAGAACCUUAAUCUAGCUCAUUUUAGGCACCAUUGUGGUAGUAAUUAAUAGGAAUGUUUAAUAUUUAACCCUCACAUUUUGUUAACAAUUUAUGCAUCUCAAACCUAUUACUCAAACAUUACCAGAUACUCUUUAUGCUAUUACUUUAAUAUUUCAUUUUAGUUGUACAAGAGUUACAAUCUUUUUUAAGAUAAGAAUUUGUUUUAAUCAUCUAGCCUAACAACGAUAUUUAAUAUAGGUGAGUGACAUCUACUUAUUUUAUUUUUUGUUUUGUUUUUUCUUUUUAAAUGUUUAUUUUGAGAGGGAGAGAGAGAGAAAGAGUGGAGAGGGGCAGAAAGGGAGAGAGGAAGAGAACCCCAAGCAGGCUCUGUACCCUCAGCAUGCAGCCAACACAGGGCUUGAUCUCACAAACCACAAGAUCAUGACCUAAGCUGAAAUCAAGAGUCAGAUGCUUAACAAACUGAGCCACCCAAGCGCUCCUAAGUUUUUAAUUCCAGUUAGUUAACAUACCCUGUUAUAUUAGUUUCAGGUGUACAAUAUAGUGAUUCAACAAUCUAUCCAUACAUACAUCACACAGUGCUCAUCACUGACAAGUGCACUCCUUAAUCCCCAUCACCUAUUUUACCCAUUUCCCCCAUCCCUCCCCUCUCGUAACCUCAAUUUCUCUGGUAGUGACUAGGGAUGCUGCCAAUCAUUCAGCCAUGCACCACACACCCACCCCCACAACAAAGAAUGCUAAUUUCUUGGUUUGGAUAAAUGUACCAUGCUUAUGUAAGAUGUUAGCGUUAGAGGAAACUUGGUGAAAGGUAUACAGGAACACUCUGUACUAUCUUUGCAACUCCUAUAUAUCUGAAAUUAUUUCAAAAUAUAUAAAUAAAGCUUAUACUUGAGGGCAACAUACAGCUUCAGAGUCAACAAUCGAUAUUUUCAUAAUUUAUUUCUAUUACAGUGUACUAUGUACUAUAGCUGAAGUAUUGUUUUGAUUUUUUGCAAAUUACUUGAAUCAAAGAAAUUUAUAUUGCCAGUGAUAUAUGUUGACAUUUUUGAGACCAAUAACAUACUUUCAAAUGUCUUCAAAGGGGUCUUUAAUCAUCUUACCUAAAAUACCUCCUCUGUUGAUCAAUUUUUUUUUUCUUUCUUUGUUUUCCAGAGAGUUUGUUUUCUGUAAUAAUUUUGCUCAUUUGUUGAGUGUUGCCUUUUUUGGAAUAUAUGCUCCCUGAAGGCAGGGGCUUUCUUGUACCUCUAGGUCCAGAACUGUCACAUUAGAGAUGGAUACUUAAUAAAUAUUUGUUGAGUGAAUUAUCUGUAUCUGUGUUGCAUCUUCCUGUUAAGUGGUAUUCAAAGGAUGGGGCUUCUUUAAACCCACUGGGCUGUGAAGAUAUAAGUCCCAACCAUAGUAUUUAACUUAACCUUGAUGAAAGUAACUCCUCUUUCUUAAGUAUAAAGAUGUAUUUGUCUACAUAUUUAAACUUUUUCACAGCUAAAGACAAAUCCUUUCCUUUCUGCUGGGAAUGCUGGGUAAGGAGAUGAUAAGGUAGAUAGAUAUCUGUGAUUUUAUACUUUCCUGUCAGAUCUUUCUGAUUUCUCCUAGAAAGCUUUUACUUCACCUGAUGAGAUGUUCUUCAAAUCAACUGCCUUUCAUUUGAUAGGAUUUGGACCAUUUCCCGAACAAUUUAUAAGAGUUCUUGUCCAAUUAAAUUCUUAGAUUCUAUUAUUUGCUCAGAAUCAAGACUGAAAGCUGUUUCACAACAAAGUUUAGAAAUGAAAAUUCCAUGGAGAUGUUGAGAACACAAAGCUGUGGAGUCCUAUUGGUUUAAAUUAAUUAUGUUCUAUGCUCCUAGCAUAUCUACCUUUAACUGAUGGUUUACCGACAAUACCAGUUCAUCAGAGUGAAGGUGUACCACACAGUUGACCAUGUUUUAUGGUGGAAGGAAGCAUAGCUUACUUGGAAAAGUCCAUCUGAAGAAAGAGCUUGGUGAAGAAUCAUUUGCUCCUGAAAGUAUGAGGGAACUGAGCUGCAAGAGGAUAAAUAAACUACCAUAGUCAUGUAAGUAUAAUACCUGUGGUUUAAGAUCAUCUGUCCUAUUAUUAGUUUAGCCACAAAUUGGGAUCUCUCUUUGUUAUAUAUUUAGUAACACUAACACAUAGCCUUUAAAUAAUACACUUAAAAGAUUAAAUAGAUUUCAAAGAAAAAUAUGAAGGAGAAUUUCUCAUAUUCAUUUUAUUGAGGGUCUAGGACAUCUUCACAAAAUACAAACUGAAAUUCAUAGGACUAAGCAGUUUUGAAAUGCAUAGAUGUGAAAAUUUAAGUGACAUUUCCUAGGACACCAAGAUUGAGCAUUCAUUAAAAAGACAAAUGCAAAAAAAACAUGAUUUUACCUCUGUAAUCCUGGGAACACAGAUGUUAUCUCCCUUCUCUAAGCUUUGUUUCCAAAUUUUCUUAGCCAGAGUCCCUCAAUGUAUUUAUAUUGCUCGUGUUCAUUUCCACUCUUCCAGUUCAGCUGGAAUUCCUAUGAUUUCCUGAGUCCCAGAGCAUGCAACUCCCCCUCCUUCUUUAAGAGAAAUAAGGGAUUUCCAUGCUCCCAUAUAUCUAUUGGUGGAAUAACAUUAUAAUAGUAACAGAAAUGUGAAAUAACGGAAAUAACCCAUCAUUGCUAUGAAUCAACUGUCUUCGUUUUCCAUGUCCCACUCUAGUUAAUAUUUACAUCAUUUUUAAGUUUUGUAUUAAGCUUUUACUUAAAUUCUAGUAUAGUUAAUAUACAGUGUUAAAUUAGUUUCAGAUGUACGAUAUAGUAAUUCAACACUUCCACACAUCACUAUGUGCUCAUCACAAGUGCACUCCUUAAUCUCCAUCACCUAUUUAACUCAUCCUCACACCCAUCUCCCCUCUGGUAACCAUGUUUCUUCUCUAUAGUUAAGAGUGUUUCUUGGUUUGCCUCUCUCUCUCUCUCUCUCUCUCUCUUUUUUUCCCUGAUGCAUAUUUGUUUUGUUUCUUAAAUUCUUUCCUGCUUUGUUGAAGAUUCGUUGACCAUAUAAUUGUGGGUCCAUUUCUGGGCUUUCUGUUCUGUUCCAUUGAUCUCUGUGUCUGUUUUUGUGCCAGUACCAUACUGUCUUUGAUGAUUACAGCUUUGUAAUACAGCUUGAAGUUUGGAACUGUGAUUUCUCUGCUUUGGUUUUCUUUUUCAAUAUUGCUUUGGCUCUUCAGGUCUCUUCUGGUUCCAUACAAAUUUUAGAAUUGUUUGUUCUAGCUCUGUGAAAAAUGCUGGUGGCAUUUUGAUAGGGAUUGCAUUCAAUGUGUAGAUUGCUUUGGGUAGUAUUGACAUUUUAACAAUAUUUGCUCUUCCAAUCCACGAGCAUGAAAUAUUUUUUCAUUUCUUUGUGUCUUCUUCAAUUUCUUUCAAAAGUGUUCUAUAGUUUUCAGAGUACAGAUCUUUUGCCUCUUUGGUUAGGCUUAUUCCUAGGUAUCUUACAGUUUGGUGCAAUUGUAAGUGGGUUCGAUUUCUUGAUUUCUCCAUCUGCUGCUUCAUUAUUGGUGUAUAGAAACGCAACAGUUCUGUAUGUUGGUCUUAUAUCUUGCAACUUUGUUUAAUUUGUGUGUCGGUUCUAGAAAUUUUGGGGUGGAGUCCUUUGGGCUUUCUACAUAGAGUUAUCAUGUCAUCUGCGAAGACCGAAUGUUUGACUUCUUCCUUGUCAAUUUCAAUGCCUUUUAUUUCUUUUUGUUGUCUGACUGCUGAGGCUAGGACUUCCAGUACUAUACUGAACAACAGUGGUGAGGGUGGACAUCUUCGCCGUGUUCCUCACCUUAUACGAAAGGCUUUCAGUUUUUCCCCACUGAAGAUGAUAUUAGCUGUGGGGCUUUCAUUUAUGGCCUUUAGGCUGCUGAGGUAUGUUCCUUCUAUCCCUACUUUCUGGAGGGUUUUUAUCAAGAAAGGAUGCUAUAUUUUGUCAAAUGCUUUUUUCUGCAUCUACUGAGAGGGUAAUAUGAUUUUUAUCCUUUCUUUUAUUAACAUAGUGUAUCAUGUUGAUUGAUUUGUGGAUAUUGAACCACCCCUGCAGUCCAGGAAUAAAUCCCACUUGAUUAUGGUGAAUCAUUCUUUUAUGAUACUGUUGGAUUUGAUUUGCUAGUGUCUUUUUGAUAAUUUUUGCAUCCAUGUGCAUCAAGGAUAUUGGUCUGAAAUUCUGUUUAGUUGGGUCUUUGUCUUGUUUUGGAAUCAAAGUAAUGCUGGCCUAAUAGAAUUAGUUUGAAAGUUUUCCUUCUAUUCCUAUUUUUUGGAACACUCCCAGAAGAAUGAGUAUUAACUCUUCUUUAAAUGUUUGGUAGAAUUCGCCUGGGAAGCCAUCUGGACCUGGACCCUUGUAGUUGGGAGAUUUUUGAUUACUGAUUGAAUUUCUUCACUGGUUAUGGGUCUGUUAAAAUUUCCUAUUUCUUCCUGAUUCAGUUUUGGUAGUUUAUAUGUUUCUAGGAAUUUGUCCAUUUCUUCCAGAUUGCCCAGUUUGUUGGCAUAUAAUUGCUUAUAUUAUUCUCUUACAAUUCUCUGUAUUUCUGCAGUGUUGUUGUGAUUUCACCUCUUCAAUUCAUGAUUUUAUUUAUUUGGGUCCUUUCUCUUUUCUUUUGUUAAGUCCAACUUGGGGGUUAUCAAUUUUGUUCACUCUUUAAAAGAACCAGUUCUGGGUUUCGUUGAUCUGUUCUUUUUUAAAAUUUCUGUAUCAUUUAUUUCUGUACUAAUUUUAUUUUAUUUUAUUUUAUUUUAUUUUAUUUUAUUUUAUUUUAUUUUAUUUCCCUUCUUCUGCUAGGUUUGGGUUUUAAUUGCUGUUCUUUAUCCGGCUCCUUUAGGUGUAAGGUUAGGUUGUGUAUUUGAGACUUUUCUUGCAUCUUAAGGAGACCUGUAUUGUUACAUACUUCAUUCUUAGACUGCCUUUGCUGCAUCCCAAAGGUUUUGGGCUGUUGUGUUUUCAUUUUCAUUUGCUUCCAUGUAUUUUUUUAAAUUUCUUCUUUGAUUUCCUGGUUAACCCAUUCAUUCUUCAGUAGGAUGUUCUGUAACCUCGUCUUUCCAAAUUUUUUCUUGUGAUUGACUUCAAGUUUCAUGGUGUUGUGGUCUUAAAAUAUGUGUGGUAUGAU